rnacentral:tRNA from 1 species
GCCUUUUUAGCUCAAUUGGUAGAGUCUCGGUUUUGUAAACCGACGGUUAUCGGUUCAAAUCCGAUAAAAGGCU